UUUUUAUCUUCUCCCAAACCCUCCCAAUCCUAUAAACCCUUUUCAGUUCCAAAUUCCUCCUUCACCCACUGCAAAACCUAGAUUCCACCGUCCCAACUUUCUACACUCUGCAACGCAUUCGCGCCCGACCCGUGGGUCCAGAUCCUCCUCGUCCUCCUCCGCGCGACUGACGCUGUCCACCAGCACUGCUCGCGCCUUCAGCGAAACGACACACCGCUCGUCGUCACCGUAGAAGCGCAAGCGCAGCACAACGCGACGCUCAGAGAGCUCGGAUGCAGCGCCGUCGAAGAAGAGGUUUUUCUGGCGGUGGGUGACGACGUGGAAGGGGGAGAGCAAGCUGGUGACACGGCGGUGGGCGUUGGCGUCUGCGAGGCGCAGCUUCACUUCGACCUCCAUUGGGGAAGAAAGGUGGGAGACUGAGGCUAGGGUUUUACGAGGAGAGGCCGAUGCGCCUUGGAAGCGGGAUCUUCACCGCCGCGAUCCAGCUAACGGAGGAGAGAAGUGGUGCCAGCAGGGGCGCUAGUGGUGGCAGGGAAGAUUACCCCUUGGUCAUUUGUGUUAAUUAUUUAGUUUUUUUGUCAUUCAGAUUACCUGAGAAAGAUCAUCGUGCAGGGAAGAUCUUCUAACUCUACCAAGGUUGGAGAUAUUAUGACCGAGGAUGUAUGUGUAUUAUGGGAACCUGCAAUUUGUGCUAUGUUAUUAGGGAACCUAUAUGAAGAGCUAUCAGGGUCAGAAGAUGGUAGCCACAUUUUUGAGGGAACCUCACAAGGAUUUUGGAAGGCCCUGCCUUCAUAAAGAACAAGCUUGCACAGGUUUUGAUAACUUUGAUUUACUUCGAUUACCCUUUGGUCUGGUCCUCCGUCUUUGUGGAUUUUUUUCCACACUUGAGCAAAGGAAACGUUGUCAUAGACAUGUUCUGUCGAGUUUUGAAUGCCCUGGAUGAUGAAUUAAUUAGUUUGGACUAUCCUAGAACCCCUGAGGAAUUGACUGUUGCGAGCCGGGUUAAAGAUGCAAUGAGACAGCAGUGUGUCUCUCAGAUUGUCCGGGCCUGGUAUGACAUUGUUUCUAUGUAUCGGAAUUCUGAUCAAGAGCUAUGCACUAGUGUGUUAGAUUCCAUGAGGAGAUAUAUUUCUUGGAUAGACAUCGGGUUGAUAGUCAAUGAUGCUUUUAUCCCUUUGUUGUUUGAUUUGAUUUUGGUUGGUCAUCUGUCUGAUCAGCUUCGUGGUGCUGCAGUCAGAUGCUUGUUGGCAGUUGUUUCUAAGCGAAUGGAGCCCCNAUCCAAACUGUCGUUGUUGCAAAGCCUUCGUAUUAGUCGUGUACUCAGGUUANUGACNGAGAACGGCGAUGCUGAAAUGGUCUCUGAUAUAGCUGCAUUGCUUACUGGGUAUGCUGUAGAGGCCUUGGAUUGCUUCAAACGCAUAAAUUCUGAGGAUGCUAAAGGAAUCUCUAUGGAGCUUUUGAGUGAAGUUUUACCCUCCAUUUUCUAUGUAAUGAAGAAUUUUGAGGUAGAUGCUACAUUCAACAUCAUUCAAUUUCUUUCAGGUUAUGUUGCCAUUUUAAAGAGCUUUACUCCUUUGCGGGAGAAACAGCUACUUCACUUGGGGCAGAUAUUGGAAGUUAUCCUAGUGCUAUGACUGGUUGGUGACUUUGAUUGCUUUCCUUUGACCAUAUUGUCUCGCACUUGCCUUCCAUGGUUACUUAAACUGAUGAUAAGCCUCUCAUCACAGGGUAAAUUAUAUCUGNUGCUUCUUGGGACCACANCUCUUAGUCUGGUAACAACUCCUCUACUUUUCAAGCUUAUUCCUGCCGUAGUGCAUCUUGGUGUGGUAUUGAAGUGGUUCUCUCCCGACAGUUCAGUGGAGACAACUCAUCUGAACCCCAAAAAUGGAAAGGACAGGGGAGAGGAACGAUAANAUAUUGAAAGGGAGAGGACCGAUAAAAGAUUGAAAGAAACCUGACAAGACGGACAAAUGAAGCAACAAGAAAAUUCACAUGUACAAAAUGACCAUGAAUAAAAUGAAAAUCAGGAUAUUUUGUUGGAAGUGCAACAAGAAAGGCUAUCGACAUACAAGAGAUCAUGGUAUCUGAUCAAGGAAGCCUACCAAAUGAAAAUGAAGAAAAUUAAACAAUUUUUCUGUAAUUUUUAGUAUUGAACACUGUUAUAUAACAUCUUUCUAUUUAGUUUUUAUUUAUGAACAAUUAGUUAUAUAUGUUGAACAAUACAGCUUAUUUUAUAUAAUAUGCAAUUUUAGAUUA